UACGGGGGGGGCAAGCGUUGUUCGGAAUUACUGGGCGUAAAGGGCUCGUAGGCGGCCAACUAAGUCAGACGUGAAAUCCCUCGGCUUAACCGGGGAACUGCGUCUGAUACUGGAUGGCUUGAGUUUGGGAGAGGGAUGCGGAAUUCCAGGUGUAGCGGUGAAAUGCGUAGAUAUCAAGUGGAACACCAGUGGCGAAGGCGAAUCCCUGGAAAAUACCUGACACUGAGGCACGAAAGCUAGGGGAGCAAACAGG
rnacentral:rRNA from 1 species